rnacentral:rRNA from 1 species
GACGAACGCUGGCGGCGUGCCUAACACAUGCAAGUCGAACGGAGAUAUCCUUCGGGGUAUCUUAGUGGCGAACGGGUGAGUAACGCGUGGGUAACCUGCCCUUUUAUCGGGGAUAACUUGCCGAAAGGUGAGCUAAUACCGGAUGUCCUAUUUUGAUCACCUGAUUAAGAUAGCAAAGGUGGCCUCUUUAAAUGCUACCGUAAAAGGAUGGACCCGCGUCUGAUUAGCUAGUUGGUGAGGUAACGGCUCACCAAGGCGACGAUCAGUAGCCGGCCUGAGAGGGUGAACGGCCACACUGGGACUGAGACACGGCCCAGACUCCCACGGGAGGCAGCAGUGGGGAAUCUUCCGCAAUGGACGAAAGUCUGACGGAGCAACGCCGCGUGAGUGAUGAAGGUCUUCGGAUUGUAAAACUCUGUUUUUUGGGACGAACGACUCAUAUGUGAACAAUGUAUGAGAUUGACGGUACCAAAGGAGGAAGCCCCGGCUAACUACGUGCCAGCCGCCGCGGUAA